GUCUAUUUGAUGGUAUAAAUAGUCUGGCCUGCCCACUGAUUAAAAUAUUAAAGGGCCGCGGUAUUUUAACCGUGCAAAGGUAGCAUAAUCAUUAGGUUUUUAAUUAGAAUCUUGUAUGAAUGGUUCGACAAAAGGAAUACUGUCUUUAUAUUAAUUUUUGAAUUUAACUUUUAAGUGAAAAGGCUUAAAUAUAUUAAAGGGACGAUAAGACCCUAUAAAACUUUACAUUGUAAUUUUAUUUAAUUAAACUUAUAAAUAAAGAUUUAAUUUAAUUAUAUGUUUUGUUGGGGAGACAAAAGUAAAAUGAUUUUUAACUGCUUUAUAGUAAAACACAUAUUAGUGAAGGUGUUAAAUGAUCCUUUAUAAAGAUUAAAAGACUAAGUUACUUUAGGGAUAACAGCGUCAUUCUUUUUGAGAGUUCUUAUCGAAAAAAGAGUUUGCGACCUCGAUGUUGAAUUAAAAUAUCUUUAUGGUGCAGAAAUCAUAAUAGAAGGUCUGUUCGACCUUUAAAUUUUUACAUGAUUUGAGUUCAAACCGGUGUGAG
rnacentral:rRNA from 1 species